rnacentral:rRNA from 1 species
UACGUAGGGUGCGAGCGUUAUUCGGAAUUACUGGGCGUAAAGCGUGCGUAGGCGGUUCGUCAAGUCUGAUGUGAAAGCCCCGGGCUCAACCUGGGAACUGCAUUGGAAACUAGCGAGCUUGAGUGUGGCAGAGGGGGGUGGAGUUCCACGUGUAGCAGUGAAAUGCGUAGAGAUGUGGAGGAACACCGAUGGCGAAGGCAGCCCCCUGGGCUAACACUGACGCUCAGGCACGAAAGCGUGGGGAGCAAACAGG